UAAAUAAAUAAUUAAAAGAAAAAAUUGCCUCAAGAAAAAGGCACUUUGGGCACCCCUCAAUAAAGGGGCGGGUGCUCAAGCCCCUCCCCCCCUGCACGUGCCUGCACACGCAUCCCCCUGACUACAUGGAAAGAAACUCACUACAUGUAACAGCACAUGGAUCUGAGGGACCUGAUGAGCAGUUUGAGGGGAAAAAAUGGCACAGAGGUACAGGAAACAGAGGGUAUGGUCUAUUUGACAAAAGGUAUGUAUGCAAUUUUCACUGCACAAAACUGUUUUUAUAGAAUACAUGACAGCAUUCCACAUGCUUCUCUUUCUAAAGCUGAAUAAUAUGAUUGGGUCUAUGCCUAAAAUGAGUGCAACACUGCAAACACUGGGAAUAAAUUUACAUUUCAGGGGUAAAACAUUGCAAUGAGGUGUUUAGGAAGCAUCUAACAGCAAACAUUAGUGCUGUAUGAACUGUGCAGCUAUUAACAAAAACCUUCUCUGUAUAUCCAGCAGGUGGAACCAUGCAAGUUGACCCCAGACUCUCCAGAAUUGUGUGAUAUUUGUACAAAUGUGCUGGUCAAACACAUGGCCACACUCUACUGAAGUCUGUAACUCUUAUGCACCUGCAUUUAUUCCUUCAUCCAAACAUAAUGACACACUUUAGUUUGGAAUAAGCUUAUUGAUUGGUUUAAAUACAUUUGUCCUGUUUGGGAGCAUGCUCAUUGAGUUUAUGUAUUUAUUGUGAGGUCUAGAAGUGUUUGGUUUCCUUGCAAAUACCAUGAGGACUGUAAUUAAUUGUAGAUCACUUAAUGGUUAAGUGCAUCCUGAGAAUUCAAAAUACUAUAAGUAGAAAAGUUACAGUUUUACAUGAUUUGAGGGUUGUUUGUGCAGGCUGUGUGCAGGAAUUCGGGACUGAACCAGAACAAGGUCGAGAAACAGUAGCUCUCACAGACGGAUGCUGCCUCAGGCACAUGAAACUAGAUCACAGGUUAGGGAAAGGCAGGCCAGUGUGUGCGUCCAUCCCUAGGUGAAGCUGCACCCGAUGGAGGAGAAGAAAAGCACCAAUAAGUGGGACUAAAGUCUAAACCACAUCCUUCUUCAACAGUUUUUUAAUCAAUCACAUAGUAGCAUAUUGAGGGAGCUAAUGAGCAGUUAGAGAAAAAAAUAGUACAGAGGUACAGGAAACAGUUUAUGACGAAACUUUCUAUUUGGCAAGAGAUAGCUAUGUAAUUCUCAUUGAUCACAACUGCUUUUAUAGAAUAAAUGACAGGUUUCCACAUGCUUCUCUUUCUAAAGCUGAAUAAAAUGAUUGGGUCUAUGGCUAAAAUGAGUGCAACACUGCAAACACUGGGAAUAGCUUCACAUUUCAGGGGUAAAAUAUUGCAAUGAGGUGUUUUGGAUCUAACAGCAAACAUUAGGGCUGUAUGAAUUGUGCAGGUGUUAACAAAAACUUCUCUGUGUAUCCAACAGGUGGAACCAUGCAAGUUGACCCCAGACUCUCCAAAAUGUGAUGUGGGGGAAAUUAAAGGUGGUGGUGACUCCCAAAGCUGACUUCAGACCAAGAACAUGUGAAGCAUCCAUCUAAAGAAGUUGAAGGAAGGUAUAAAAAGGAAACAAUUCAUUGAGUAACUUCAGUUUUCUGAUGAUCUGACAUCACAGACGGAGUGAAGUGUCAGACGCUGUUCUUCUGAAGUUUAACAACUUUUCUGCAUCAGGAUCAAAGUCAGAAUGAAAAUCCUCCAUUUUCUCUUUUUCUGCUUCUUGUCAGAUCCAGCUGGACUCGUCAAGGCAAAGCAUUAUAACAUUAUCUAUACUGCAGCUGAAGGAGGAAAUGCUUCACUUCGAUGCCCUUUAACUUUGCCUGGAAGCACAAAGUUUUUCUGUAAGGAAAAAUGUGAGCGAGCAGAAGAUAUCCUCAUUAAAGCAGAUGGAAGCACAGCUCAAAGUGGGAGAUUCAGCAUUAAAUAUGACGAUGUAUCUCCAGGAAGCAGAUUUGUGUUUGUGACCUUCACACACAUGAUCAAGUCUGACUCAGGAAUGUACAGGUGUGGUUUGGGAAACUCUUCUGCUCCAGCUUCAUAUUAUGACUUUGGGGUCAGAGUUUCAAAUGAUCUGGAUAAAAACUCUGGUUUUAUCCGCAAAGAAACUGAGGGAGAAAACAUCACAUUAGUAUGUUCCAGUACUCUUACUGGAGAGAGAAAGUUCUUGUGUAAGAGUGAGUGCAAGAAUGAAGGGGAGAUCCUCAUUGACACAACUAAUAACAAAGCUGUGAGUGGCAGAUACAGCAUUGAACACAACCCAGGAUCUACAUUUGGACUGUAUGCGACCAUCACACAGGUGACCAAGUCAGACACAGGACGAUACAUAUGUGGUUAUGGAAACCCUCUGUCUCCAGAUUCAUUUGUCGGUGAUUAUCUUCUUGUCAUUGAUGCAACACAGAGUGAAAGUGUCACUCCAGGAGGCUCUACACACUGUCCUGACUCCUCCUGGCUUCUGGUUGUGCGUGCGUCCUUGGAUGGUGUUUUGCUGAUGGCUGUUUUCCUCAUGCUCUUCUACAUUAGUAAGACAAGGAGGAACUUUGGACUGAACACCAGAGAAAAUGACACAAACAUGGAGGUGAGUUUGUGUCACUUGUUUUCUGUCUGUUGUUGCAGGUUUCAGUGAGUGCUGUUGAUUCAUGCUGUCAGUGGGACUUGAGACAACACGAACAAUUGUUGCAUCAGACACCGACAUGUUAUAUAAUUAUGCCAUCAGAGAAGAUACCGGAACUCAGUAGUUACUUCACAAUCCUUUAUUCACCUUCAACCAUUUAUUCACCUUCUUGAAGAGGAGAUGUGCAUGGCCCGGCAGUCUGCAAAAUCUCAACCCUUUGUCUGUUACACACAGUUUCAUAGAAGUGACCCUCAUUGUAAACCCUAUAUGGUGUGUCCUAAACUUAAGACACUGUGUUUGUGUAUGUAUGUACGAACAUGUGAGUGCGUGUGUAUGUGUGUGUGUGUGUGUGUGUGUGUGUGUGUGUGACUUCCUGCUUUUCAUAAAAAGGUUAGAGCAAACUAAAACCCCCACUCUACUUCCAUUUGGCAGUUUCCACUGGGACACUAGCCUCUUGUUGUCUUACUUUUACAGCUAAGCAUGUGGAGAGUCUCCUGCAAACCUACUUCUACGUUGUGACAGUUAUGAGCCUUUAUUACAUUCAGGGACGAGGGUAACAGACUUCUCCUCUCUUUCCUUUCUGUUCCAUACAGUCCUUCCAUCCCCCAACUGUAGCUUCCUGCCUCCUUUUAUGACAGGCAGACCCCCAGUGUCAAUAAAUUCCUCUCCCUCUAUACAAUUACACACACUCUCAGGCCUAUAGCUAAACCAAACUAAAACACACAGACAUUCACAAAUCCUUCCCUGUUCCUCUGAUCUACAGCUGAACCCUCUCAUCUAUGCAAAUUUAAGCACAUUAUAUUCCAAUCAUUGUUUUCUUGUACUCACAAUAUUUAGAAUGUUUUUUUUGUUUGUUUGUUUUGUUUCUCUGAAAAAAACAUUUGUGUUUCUUAUUUUGUAUUCCCAGUUUUCGAAACUGAUGUUGCAUGAGGUGGUUUAAACUCUGUUGUGCAUCUCAGGUUUUGUGUUGUUAUUUUUAUUUUUUGUUAUCUCAGUAUCCAACCUCCACACAUAAAGAGCCCAAAAGCAGCAGGACCAAACCUACUCUGCAUUAUUAAAGACCAAAAUCUAAAAUUUGUAACUUUACCUGUUCUAAAUUUAGCGAAUUUACUCGCUUUUCUCCUUUUCUACCAUCAUUUCUUUGAUAUUUUUGAGCAUAUUUCUAUAAUCUUAUCAUCACCUCACAUAUAAUUUGCUUCACUGUGCUCCUGUAUUGUUUGCAUAUAUGUGUAUGUUAUGAACCUUAACAUAAGGUUUAUAUUAUAACUAUGUGAAUCAGGUCACAUUACAAAGCAAAAACAAUGUAACAAGUACAACACGAUUUAUACUUUAAAAACAGCAGUAAUAUGGAUGGACCUGCUUUUAAAUGCUUUUAAAUUCUUUCAAAGAUGUUUUUAACAAAAGUGACAUGAAAAUAAAGAACACAUAAAUUCAAAGAAGCAGGAAGUAGAAAUAGUCAAAUAUAAGACAGAGCAAAUUCUUGCUGCUGUUGUCUCCUCUUCUUUAGUCGGUGGUUGUUUGUUUUCUUCAGCCAGCUGUUUCAUCAGGUCUCUCUCUCUCUUUCUCUCUCUCCUUUG